rnacentral:misc_RNA from 1 species
GGAAGUAAAAGUCGUAACAAGAUUUCCGUAGGUGAACCUGCGGAAGGAUCAUUAUUGUAUAACCGAGGUGCGAGGGCUGUCGCUGACCCGAAAGGUCGUGCACGCCCGAGUGCCCUCACACACAUCCAUCUCACCCCUAUGUGCACCACCGCGUGGGUCCCCCUUUGGCUUGUUCGGAGGGGGGCUUACGUUUUCACACAAACUCUGUAUGCAGUGUAGAAUGUAUUUUUUGUUUUUGCGAUCACGCAAUCAAUACAACUUUCAACAACGGAUCUCUUGGCUCUC